rnacentral:rRNA from 1 species
UAGGGAAUCUUCGGCAAUGGGGGGAACCCUGACCGAGCAACGCCGCGUGAGUGGAGAAGGUUUUCGGAUCGUAAAGCUCUGUUGUUAAGGAAGAACGAGUGUGAGAAUGGAAAGUUCAUACUGUGACGGUACUUAACCAGAAAGGGACGGCUAACUACGUGCCAGCAGCCGCGGUAAUACGUAGGUCCCGAGCGUUGUCCGGAUUUAUUGGGCGUAAAGCGAGCGCAGGCGGUUAGAUAAGUCUGAAGUUAAAGGCAGUGGCUCAACCAUUGUAGGCUUUGGAAACUGUUUAACUUGAGUGCAGAAGGGGAGAGUGGAAUUCCAUGUGUAGCGGUGAAAUGCGUAGAUAUAUGGAGGAACACCGGUGGCGAAAGCGGCUCUCUGGUCUGUAACUGACGCUGAGGCUCGAAAGCGUGGGGAGCGAACAGG